rnacentral:rRNA from 1 species
UACGGAGGAUGCGAGCGUUAUCCGGAAUCAUUGGGUUUAAAGGGUGCGUAGGCUGGUAUUUAAGUCAGUGGUGAAAUUUUCGUGCUUAACAUGAGAGCUGCCAUUGAUACUGGGUACCUAGAGUGUAUUUGAUGUGGGGCGGAAUGUGUUGUGUAGCGGUGAAAUGCUUAGAUAUGACACAGAACACCGAUAGCGAAGGCAGCUCACAAAGUUACAACUGACGCUGAUGCACGAAAGCGUGGGGAUCAAACAGG